rnacentral:tRNA from 1 species
GCGGGUGAAGUGCUCCGGAGGCACGCCCGGCUUCCAACCGGGAGGCGUGGGUUCGACUCCCAUCAUCCGCU